UGACAUCCUCAGUGAACUUGCCUCCCUUACUUGCCCUGAGGCCCAGCUCCUGGAGGCUCAAGCCCUUGAGCCUCCUUCACCACAGCCUGAGCCGCAGCUCCUGGACCCCCAGCCCCGCUUCCUAGACCCACAAGCACUAGAGCCUCUAGGAGAAGGUUUGGAACUACCACCCCUGCAGCCUCUUGCGGAUCCUCUGGGACUGCCGAGCUUGACUCUGCAGGCCCUAGACACCCUACCUGACUCCUUGGAAUCCCAGCUCCUUGACCCUCAGGCCCUCGACCCCCUGCCCAAGUUGUUGGAUGUCCCUGGUCGACGUCUAGAGCCCCAGCAAUCCUUGGGACACUGCCAACUGGCUGAGCCCUUACGCCUGGACUUGU
rnacentral:lncRNA from 1 species